rnacentral:tRNA from 1 species
GCCCUCAUAGCUCAAUCGGCUUAGAGUUUCCGGCUCUUAGCAAAUUUAGAAAAUCUUAAGAAUUUCUUCUGUUAUUUAUAUAUAACAACAACAAUGGUGUAACCGGAAGGUUGUGGGUUCGAGUCCCACUGGGGGCG